rnacentral:rRNA from 1 species
AUUCCAGCUCUAAUAGCGUAUAUUAAUGUUGUUGCAGUUAAAAAGCUCGUAGUUGGAUUUUGGUGUUUGACAAAUGGUCUGCCUUCGGGUUUGCACUGUUUGUUGGCACUUCUUUUCUGGGGAACUCACUGCUCUUAAUUGAGGGGUGCUGUAACGCAGAUCGUUUACUUUGAAAAAAUUAGAGUGUUCAAAGCAGGCCAACGCAUUGAAUACAUUAGCAUGGAAUAAUGGAAUAGGACUUUGGUCUUAUUUUGUUGGUUUCUAAGGCCGAGGUAAUGAUUAAUAGGGAUAGUUGGGGGCAUUAGUAUUUAUUAGCUAGAGGUGGAAUUCUCUAAUUUGAUAAAGACUAACUUAUGCGAAAGCAUUCACCAAGGAUGUUUUCAUCG